AACGCACGAGACCUGCGGACCUGCGGAGGGAUCAUUAUAGAGUUUUCUAAACUCCCAACCCAUGUGAACUUACCUUUUGUUGCCUCGGCAGAAGUUAUAGGUCUUCUUAUAGCUGCUGCCGGUGGACCAUUAAACUCUUGUUAUUUUAUGUAAUCUGAGCGUCUUAUUUUAAUAAGUCAAAACUUUUAGCAAUGGAUCUCU
rnacentral:misc_RNA from 1 species